rnacentral:rRNA from 1 species
UAUAGGUGAAUAGACCCUCGUGCAUGAAAGAAGCUGAAGGUACUAUAAGAAUAAGGACCGGCUAACUCCGUGCCAGCACCCGCGGUAAUACGGAGGGUCCAAGCGUUAUCCGUAUUUAUUGGGUUUAAGGGGUCCGCAGGCGGGAGAAUAACUCAGUGGUGAAAUCCUGUCGCUUAACGAUAGAACUGCCAUUGAUACUGUUUUUCUUGAGUAUCUGUGAUUUGGGCGGAAUGUGUCAUGUAGCGGUGAAAUGCAUAGAUAUGACACAUAACACCGAUUGCGAAGGCAGCUCAAUAAACUAUACCUGACGCUCAUGGACGAAAGCGUGGCGAGCAAACAGGAUUAGAUACCCUGGUAGUCCACGCUGUAAACGAUGAUUACCCGGUGUUAACGAUUUACGGUUAGUGCCUAAGCGAAGGUGAUGACUAAUCCAACUGGGGAGUACGGUCGCAAGAUUGAAACUCAAACGAAUUGACGGCU